ACGAUUGAAACGGCGCGCCGGGUCCCCUAUAUCUGUCUUGUUCUUCGGGACUAUGGACAUAAACGCGCUCGUAAUAAGCGGAUCGGACCCGGGGGCGGUACCCGGCGGCUCCACCAAUAAUCCUUCAUUUGGGGAUCAUGGGGCCGAAACAGGAUCGACGAACGUCUAAAGGGGUUAGCUUUGUCCCGGUGAGAUACCACCGUUAUCGGUUCAAAACGUACAAUUGCAAAUGACAAUCGUGCACCGGUGGCAAUGGCUGCGUAAGCAGUCGGAUCUACCGAAAUCUUAAGCCCUGAUGCCUUGCAGCAUCAGGCGGGGUUCGCAGGCACCUGGCAACAGAAGCCUGCACU
rnacentral:tmRNA from 1 species